rnacentral:rRNA from 1 species
UGGGGAAUAUUGGACAAUGGGCGCAAGCCUGAUCCAGCCAUGCCGCGUGAACGAUGAAGGCCUUAGGGUUGUAAAGUUCUUUUGUCAGGGAAGAUAAUGACGGUACCUGAAGAAUAAGCACCGGCUAACUUCGUGCCAGCAGCCGCGGUAAUACGAAGGGUGCUAGCGUUGUUCGGAAUCACUGGGCGUAAAGCGCGCGUAGGCGGCGAUAUAAGUCAGAGGUGAAAGCCUGGAGCUCAACUCCAGAACUGCCUUUGAAACUAUAUUGCCAGAGUGUCGGAGGGGAUAGCGGAAUUGCUAAUGUAGAGGUGAAAUUCGUAGAUAUUAGCAGGAACACCGGUGGCGAAGGCGGCUAUCUGGACGACAACUGACGCUGAGGCGCGAAAGCGUGGGGAUCAAACAGGAUUAGAUACCCAAGUAGUCCCUGAGCGGGCUGGCAAGGCGCAU